CUUAAUCGUCGUCCUUUCAAAACACUGACAUACUGUAUAUUUAUAUUGUUCAGGAACAUCGCUGCAACUCUGGCGGAAUGGCGCUGAGACGAGCCGGAGUGUGAAGCGGACCGAGAGAAACAAUGUUCAGGAUUCAAUUCAUUUUAGAUGUCAGUAUAAAGUUCUCCCUUACAUUCACAACAUCUCUCGUGAACAUUGUCUCCCUCUCCCCGUGCCCCCGAGCUGGGUACAACAGGUGCUUAGGAUCAACACUCACUCACGUUACCAGCAAACAACUGUGUAUCGGUCCAGACCUCAUGAGUGAGACGGGAGGUAAAGGACUACUAGACUCGCUCGCCUUCCUCGCCCCGGCACUGAGCCAUUGAGCCUUACCAUGAUAUACAACUGAAGACUUUUAGUGAAGAAUUAAUCACUUCUGGUACCUAUUUCAUCACAGUCAUCAUGUAAGAACAACAACCGCAUUCGACUGCCUGUGUGCUGGGGUGAGAGUGUUCCGCCUCUCACCAACCUCCACGGCAGACUGACUCAACGAGGCUUUGACGGGAGGAACACUACGACUCACCAAACUCCAUCAUCAGACUGAGCAGACUUCUCAACCAACUUCUUAGCCCCCCCCCACCCCCACCCCCCUCCCACACUCACGCCCACUCAGUAUAACGUCACGUGCCCACUCCGGACAUCAACUGAAGCCAGGACUAUCUUGUAACCCUCUCCGUCCUGAGGUCAUCAAACAGAUUAUUACACAUCAUUGGUAAUCUCUUUUACCUUCCUAUUGAUGAAUUAAGAUACCUAACCCAACCCAACCCAACCCAACCCAACCUAACCUAACCCAACCCCCCCAAAAUAUCCUUAAGUCAUACGGGCCAACGGGCUGGAAGUAAUGUUAGAGACGAAAGAUUGUAUUUUUUUAGUGUUUUUUUUUGUCCCCCAAGUCAUGUUUCCUUUACAUAACAGAUGAGGAGGUAUUUCAAUUUCCACCUUUAUUCAAACAUCUGUACUAAAACUCACUCGUCCUGAAAAAUUAUGGCGGUGGAUGAGAGACACUGAAACGCCACUGGCCAAUCUGGGGGUGAAAGAGACCACUGGAUUGAACAUGUGACGUGGUUAUGUAAGAUGAUAUAAUACUGACGUGGUUGUAAGGUGAUAUAAUACUGACGUGGUUAUGUAAGGUGAUAUAAUACUGACGUGGUUAUGGAAGAUGAUAUAAUACUGACGUGGUUAUGUAAGAUGAUAUAAUACUGACGUGGUUAUGUAAGGUGAUAUAAUACUGACGUGAUUAUGUAAGGUGAUAUAAUACUGACGUGGUUAUGUAAGGUGAUAUAAUACUGACGUGGUUAUGUAAGGUGAUAUAAUACUGACGUGGUUAUGUAAGGUGAUAUAAUACUGACGUGGUUAUGUAAGGUGAUUUUAAACUACAUAAAAAAUUCGUAAUAUAUAUACCUGGUAAUGUACAGAAUUUGGAGGUAGUUGAGGUAAUUUUGUUAUUGUAGUGAUAAUUAAUCCACCUUUUGGAGAGGAGCGUCACCGUCUCCUCCUGUCUCCGUCCUCCGUCACCGUCUCCUCCUGCGUCACCGUCUCCGUCCUCCACCUCUACAGCAUCAUGAUAUAUAUUACACAUUACCAUGAUGACUACUUUAGUGUUGCUCUGGGGGGGAGAUGAAUGAUGCUGUCAUCUACAUUUCAUGCAAGUAUUAUGAUUUUUGUUUCCCGUUCUGACUAUGCAACCUAGAUUUGAUUCGGUUAUAUAUGUAUAUUACAAAAGAACAAACGAGGAACUGAAGUGUGAGAGGAUAAAUGAAAGAGAGAGAGAGAGAGAGAGAGAGAGAGAGAGAAUGAAUGAAUAAAAACACAUACGAAAAUAUGUUAAUUUCUGCUCGACACAUCAAAAUUAUAGUAUUUUACAGACGCUUACUCCCAAAAAAAUAUUUGAAACAACAAUGAAAAUAAACGGAAAAAAAAUAAUCCCGAAUUAAUCUGUGAAAGUUGAAGUCUUAACGCCAAUAAGACCAUUUUUUUCGAACAGGUACAAUAAGGCGAGUCAUUAUGUUACUGGGAUGUGAUCGAGCAAGUCCAUAUCUCUCUCUUACAAAUCACAUAAACACUGAUACAAUAACUUCUACUCGUUACUACACGCACUACAUUAACAUUUCCUCCGCAACACUAACUACUGCUUAUAAAAUCAACAUACCAGCAUCAUAUGGAGCUAUUCUGAGCCUUGAGUCCGCUGGGUCAAUACUGCUGGUGGUGUUGUCUUGAGGAGGUGAUGGUACGUGUUGGUCUCCCUCAGUGUAACAUAUUAGUCCUCACACCUGGGACGUGAUGCGUGGUCACGUCUCUGUCUGGGGAUAAAGACAUCUUGUGUGUGCAUAGUGAGUAGAUCCUGUGUGUGUUUGGUUAUGGUGGUGGGGGAGACGUGUGUGUGUGUGUG
rnacentral:lncRNA from 1 species